UACGGGGGGAGCAAGCGUUGUUCGGAUUUACUGGGCGUAAAGGGCGCGUAGGCGGGAUGGCAAGUCGGUCGUGAAAUCCUUCGGCUCAACCGAAGAACGUCGAUCGAUACUGCUGUUCUUGAGGGUUGCAGAGGAGACUGGAAUUCCCGGUGUAGCGGUGAAAUGUGUAGAGAUCAGGAAGAACAUCGGUGGCGAAGGCGCUCUGCUGGACCAUAACUGACACUCAGGGACGAAAGCUAGGGGAGCGAAUGGG
rnacentral:rRNA from 1 species